CAGUAGCCGCGGGAAUACGGAGGGCGCGAGCGUUACCCGGAUUUACUGGGCGUAAAGGGCGUGUAGGCGGCCUGGGGCGUCCCAUGUGAAAGGCCACGGCUCAACCGUGGAGGAGCGUGGGAUACGCUCAGGCUAGAGGGUGGGAGAGGGUGGUGGAAUUCCCGGAGUAGCGGUGAAAUGCGCAGAUACCGGGAGGAACGCCGAUGGCGAAGGCAGCCACCUGGUCCACUUCUGACGCUGAGGCGCGAAAGCGUGGGGAGCAAACCGGAUUAGAUACCCGCGUAGUCCCUGUCUCUUAUAA
rnacentral:rRNA from 1 species